AUUGAACGCUGGCGGCAGGCCUAACACAUGCAAGUCGAGCGGUUGAGGUAGCUUGCUACCGAAGCAGCGGCGGACGGGUGAGUAAUACAUGGGAAUCUGCCUGGUAGUGGGGGACAACGUUUCGAAAGGAACGCUAAUACCGCAUACGCCCUACGGGGGAAAGGGGGGGAUCUUCGGACCUCUCGCUAUCAGAUGAGCCCAUGUCGGAUUAGCUAGUUGGUGGGGUAAAGGCCUACCAAGGCGACGAUCCGUAACUGGUCUGAGAGGAUGAUCAGUCAAACGGGAACGGAGACACGGUCCAGACUCCUACGGGAGGCGGCAGUGGGGAAUAUUGGACAAGGGGCGCAAGCCUGAUCCAGCCAUGCCGCGGGUGUGAAGAAGGCCUUAGGGUUGUAAAGCACUUUCAGUGGGGAGAAAGGUGAUUCACCUAAUACGUGAGUCAAUUGAUGUUACCCACAGAAGAAGCACCGGCUAACUCCGUGCCAGCCGCCGCCGUAA
rnacentral:rRNA from 1 species